UACGAAGGGGGCUAGCGUUGUUCGGAAUUACUGGGCGUAAAGCGCGCGCAGGCGGCCUUUCAAGUCAGGGUGAAAGCCCGGAGCUCAACUCCGGAAUUGCCUUUGAAACUGUCAGGCUCGAGUUCGGGAGAGGUGAGUGGAAUUCCCAGUGUAGAGGUGAAAUUCGUAGAUAUUGGGAAGAACACCGGUGGCCGAAGGCGGCUCACUGGCCCGUUUCUGACGCUGCAGGCGCGACAGC
rnacentral:rRNA from 1 species